rnacentral:lncRNA from 1 species
UUUUGGAAGUUUCAGGAUAGGUGUUAACUCUUCUCUAAAUGUUUGGUAGAGUUUGCCUGUAAAGCUCUCUGGUCCUGGACUUUUGAUUGUUGGGAGUUUAAAAAUUACUGAUGCGGAUAUACUGACAUGGCUCAGUGGAAACGAAUACGACCAGUAACUCUAAGUACACAAGUUCCACCCCUGGCUCAGUGGGUUAAGGAUCCUGAGUUGCCAUGAGCUGUGGUGUAGGGAUAAAAUCAGCAUUCUUACGGAUACUAGUAGGAUUUGUUUCUGCUGUGCCACGAGAACUCCCUGCUGUUGAAUUCUGAAUGCACUGUGCCACAGCGGGAACGCCACAUAUUUUUUUUUGAAUACAUGGAACAUUCAAACAAUAAUUUUUGAAGAAUAAAAUUAUUUUUUGUCACAACAAAUUAUAAAAAGGGGCAGCACAAGAGAAUUCUGGGAGGUGGUAGAACUGUUCCAUAUCUCGAUUAUGGUUAUUACAUGAUUUGGCAUUUGUGAAAACUCAGAAUUAUACAUCAAAAAGAGUGAAUCUUACUAUGUAAAUUUAAAAAUUAAAAUGUUUUAAGAGGGGGAGAAAUAUCAUUUUAUAGCCCAUUAAUAACCUUUAGGGCAACCAAAAUGCAACGCUGGUCUUAUAAAGAAUAAUAUUCUAGUGGUAGAAAUUUAGUUGCUCAAUCAAAUUUCGUGGAGAGAUAUUUUCAGAGAUUUUAGAAUUUUUAAACCGGGAAAUCAUCUAUCCACUGUAGUAUUAUACUGUAGCUUUUUUUGGCUUACAGAUCCAUUUUUCCCCUCUCCCACAUAAGACUGUUAGAUUCCAAAGGGCAUCUCCCUGUGUCCCUGUUUAGUUAUCUUGGUAUCCCCAGACUCUACCUAGUAUAUCUGACACCUAGUGGAUACUCAACGAAUAUUUGCUGAAGAAGUAGAAGUCCUGUUUUAAGCACAGAAGGAAAAGUGAAAGUAAAUAUGAUACAGCCCCUGCUCUCAAAAAACCUUAAACCUUAGUGGCCAUGUACCCUCAAUAUAGUUAGUAGUACACAAGCACAAGUGGGAAAUGAAAGAGGAAGGAGGUAGGGGAAGAUUUGGUGUAGGCUGACUACUUUUUCU